rnacentral:rRNA from 1 species
CUUGUUGGUGGGGUGAUGGCCUACCAAGGCGACGACGGGUAGCCGGCCUGAGAGGGUGUCCGGCCACACUGGGACUGAGAUACGGCCCAGACUCCUACGGGAGGCAGCAGUGGGGAAUAUUGCACAAUGGGCGCAAGCCUGAUGCAGCGACGCCGCGUGAGGGAUGACGGCCUUCGGGUUGUAAACCUCUUUCAGUAUCGACGAAGCGCAAGUGACGGUAGGUACAGAAGAAGCACCGGCCAACUACGUGCCAGCAGCCGCGGUAAUACGUAGGGUGCGAGCGUUGUCCGGAAUUACUGGGCGUAAAGAGCUCGUAGGUGGUUUGUCGCGUUGUUCGUGAAAACUCACAGCUUAACUGUGGGCGUGCGGGCGAUACGGGCAGACUGGAGUACUGCAGGGGAGACUGGAAUUCCUGGUGUAGCGGUGGAAUGCGCAGAUAUCAGGAGGAACACCGGUGGCGAAGGCGGGUCUCUGGGCAGUAACUGACGCUGAGGAGCGAAAGCGUGGGGAGCGAACAGGAUUAGAUACCCUGGUAGUCCACGCCGUAAACGGUGGGUACUAGGUGUGGGUUUCCUUCCUUGGGAUCCGUGCCGUAGCUAACGCAUUAAGUACCCCGCCUGGGGAGUACGGCCGCAAGGCUAAAACUCAAAGGAAUUGACG